AGGGUUUGAUUCUGGCUCAGGACGAACGCUGGCGGCGCGCCUAACACAUGCAAGUCGAACGAGAGAUGAGGAGCUUGCUCUUCAAAUCGAGUGGCGGACGGGCGAGUAACGCGUGAGUAACCUGCCCAUAAGAGGGGGAUAAUCCAUGGAAACGUGGACUAAUACCGCAUAUUGUAAUAAAAUCGCAUGAUUUAAUUAUGAAAGAUUUAUCGCUUAUGGAUGGACUCGCGUCAGAUUAGAUAGUUGGUGAGGUAACGGCUCACCAAGUCAACGAUCUGUAGCCGAACUGAGAGGUUGAUCGGCCGCAUUGGGACUGAGACACGGCCCAG
rnacentral:rRNA from 1 species